ACUGACAACAUUCUUGUGUUCUUUUUUACAGAAUGUAACUUAUCAGAUGAACGUGCGUCACAGCUUAAGGAAUGGUUGAGAAACAAUUCACAGCCCCUCAGCCAGGUAGAGACCUACAUGAAGGACACAGCAGUCUACAGGGCCAAGUGCAUUAGGGACAACAAUUGGACCAUCAAUCAGAUCCUCGAAGAGUUCCCUCGCCUAAUGACCAAAGGCAUGAUUGCACAGGACUUUCUUGUCCUGCAUGGGGACGCUUCAUCAAAGUUGUUUGAAACUUGGCUACCCAUUUAUGCUGAGAAGAUCCUGCACCUGGCAAGACGGGAGGGGAAGCUGACAUCGCCCCUGGAUGGAUUAACACCAGGUAAUAUAUUCUUGUUUGCAAACCUUGCGAAUGUCAAUGUUGGUUUUUGUCAGUGUAAGGUUUCCCCAGCGAGGCCGGUGUUGCUCACUAGGCUACGUUUGACCAACAAGGGUAGAAAGCUCACAACAAGACCGCUAGCCUAACUAGUUCUACCUAGUUCUCUGACAGGCUGUUCCACAACUGAGGGCGAUAAUGGCUGAAUGCAGCCUCCCCGUGGGUUUUUGUUCUUUCUUUUGGGACAAUUAAAAGGCCGGUGCCAGAGGACCUCAGGGUCCGCGAGGGUUGAUAUGAUAAAAGCAGGUCAGAUAAAUAAGAUGGCCCAAGACUGCUAAGACAUUUAAAAACUAAUAAAAGAGCCUUAAUUAUUCAAUUAUUUGUUGUAUGUUUUUAUUUUUUGUGAAUCGCUUUGGUUUGCAUUUUUUAUGUAUGAAAAGUGCUAUAUAAAUGGUUUGAUUUGAUUUAGGACAGAUGGGGUUACCUCACCUGGUUUCCGAUGUUUGUAGCAGCCUCCCGCAGUCUGGCCAGGUCUUGUUCCACGCCGUUCCCUGUCUCUUCUCCUACUCUGGUCAGGUUUGAGGUUAAAAUAGUUCUUUCUCAAAGGCUGUCAGUUGAUUGUCCCACUCGGGGCAAGAGCCCACACAGUCUGUCUGGGGCUUUGGCAAGCGCACCACACACUCCCAGGUGCUUCCGGGUUCUUUCUCUUCUUUUCAGUCCCCUUAAAAAACCAGUGGGCACACCCCUUCCUCUGAGAGCCCCACCUUGAGAUCUCUGCCAGCUUCCGGCCCAGUAAUAGUGGGAUUAACUAAACUACAAACUAACCAGCUGCAGGGCGGGAAUUGGCUGCACGUAACAAUUAGCAUAGGUUUUAUUUUAGUUGGACACGACAAAAUCACAGCUUUGCCAUUCCACAUUGUACCUAUAAUGUCUUCCUACAGAUGCAGUUGGGGAACUGGCCCUGAGGCAGCUGCCAGCAUUGCUUCCACCAACUGUUUACAAAGUUGGCCGUGGCCGUGGUGCAAAAAUGGUUCGCCACACCUUGGAUGAAUGCAGCUUGGCCUUCAUCGACCAUAAGCCUCCUGGAACUAACAUGGUGGAGUACCUCCAUGAGGCCAAGGCAUCCAGGCCAUACCCUCAUGUCUUGACACUGGGAAAUAACAAUCACCAUCCAUCUCAAGCCUUUGUCAUCAUCGCUGGACAGGCUUUGGAGCAAGACGCACUGCUUCAGGCUAUCGAUGUCUGCUUCAAGGCAUUCUUCAUCUUGGACAUUAAAUACCCAAAAGAGUGUGAACAUGUGUGGGAAUUCCUACAAAGUGUCAUUUAUGAAAUUCCCGGAGGGGAGUCCAAACUAGUACGGUUUCUCCAAAGUAGAAUACUUGCUUGCCCUCAAGGGCAGCUUGUUUCUGCCAAGCAAACAGGUGUU